rnacentral:lncRNA from 1 species
GAGGAGCUCCCUUUGUGCACGGGGCUUAGAAAGAGCCUGCAGUACCUGGUGAACAACUGGCUGAGCUCUGUGGAGAGCAAGUUGCAGGCCAACAGUGAGGAGGGUAGCCCCAAGCAUUGGCCCAGGAGCUACAUGUGUUUGCACUUCCAGAUGAUGUCACCAAGAAGGACAGAAGAGUUUUUCCAGAGCUGAAGCUGAAUCUGUCUGGCCUGGACAAUAACACCAUAUAUUCUUUCCUCCUGCACUUUGUGAUCUAGCUGGCCACCGCUGGAAGUGUGUGGGCAGAGAGUGGGUGUCCUGGGGUAAUCCCAAACUGCCAGCCCUAGCUCUAUCUACAUCCACUCUGACUCUCCAGACAUCAAAGGGCACUUGUUUCCUUCAUCAAAGUCAAACUCACGAAUUAGCUCAACAGAGGGUGCCAGAUCAUGUUGAACUCCUUGCAUAAAUAUGAACCUCAAAUUCCCAAAGGAACAUUUCCAGAGGGGAUGAUCACCAGCUACUUCAUUCCCCAAAUCCAGUGUACAUCUGUGAUGGCUUAACAUAACGAGGAGGUUCCAGCUCCUACAGUUAGAUACAAUCAAUUUGCAAAGACUUUUCUUUCUGCAGAGAAAAGCAGUAUUCACAAUGAUAUGAUGGAAAAACCUGGAGACAAACAGCAAUCUGAGUAUUCUUAAUGAAAAUGGCUUAUUCCUAAAACCAGUACCUUCUGUUCAACCUCCAUCCUUGAUUUGGAAGUCCUCUUUUACUUUCCUUCCCACAUGGCUGUAAAAGACACUCUGUUCUGAGGAAACACUAUUCCCCUUCCUACCCCAACUCUCCAACCUGUUCUGACAAGUCAUUUGCAUGUUAUUCAUGCUCCAAUCCCAUGACAAUUGGUCCAGCCUUGGGAUGUCUGCACAGAUCAGGAUGCUACUCAUGAGUCAAAACAGGAGUUCAUCAGUUCCUCAACCGCUGGUCUGCAAGUAGGGUACCAGCACACCAGGGUUUCAGAGAGCUGGGCUAUCUAACUGGAUGGGAUUCCAUUUUUUUUCCAAGGUCCACUGAACACUGGGCCCCUUUUAUCCAGUCUCAGGUCCUUCCUUCCCAGAAUCCCCACUAUCUGAAGAUCCUGUCAUGACCACAGAUAGUCUUGACAGCUAAUAUCAUGCAUUGGCACAAGCCCACCUUAUAAACUCAUGGAUAUCCCUGUCAUCAUCUUCUC